rnacentral:rRNA from 1 species
CAGUCGCCGCGGUAACACCGAGGGUGCGAGCGUUAAUCGGAUUUACUGGGCGUAAAGCGUGCGUAGGCGGCUUUUUAAGUCGGAUGUGAAAUCCCUGAGCUUAACUUAGGAAUUGCAUUCGAUACUGGGAAGCUAGAGUAUGGGAGAGGAUGGUAGAAUUCCAGGUGUAGCGGUGAAAUGCGUAGAGAUCUGGAGGAAUACCGAUGGCGAAGGCAGCCAUCUGGCCUAAUACUGACGCUGAGGUACGAAAGCAUGGGGAGCAAACAGGAUUAGAUACCCGUGUAGUCCCUGUCUCUUAUAC